GACGAACGCUGGCGGCGUGCUUAACACAUGCAAGUCGAACGAUGAAGCCCAGCUUGCUGGGUGGAUUAGUGGCGAACGGGUGAGUAACACGUGAGUAACCUGCCCUGGACUCUGGGAUAGCCCCGAGAAAUCGGAGCUAAUACCGGAUAGGACCUUUCCUCGCAUGAGGUUUGGUGGAAAGUUUUUCGGUUUGGGAUGGACUCGCGGCCUAUCAGCUUGUUGGUGAGGUAAUGGCUCACCAAGGCGUCGACGGGUAGCCGGCCUGAGAGGGUGACCGGCCACACUGGGACUGAGACACGGCCCAGACUCCUACGGGAGGCAGCAGUGGGGAAUAUUGCACAAUGGGCGCAAGCCUGAUGCAGCAACGCCGCGUGCGGGAUGACGGCCUUCGGGUUGUAAACCGCUUUUAGUAGGGAAGAAGGGCUUCGGCUUGACGGUACCUGCAGAAAAAGGACCGGCUAACUACGUGCCAGCAGCCGCAGUAAAAC
rnacentral:rRNA from 1 species